AUUAUGGUCGGACGUGCCGAGUGGAGCUCUGCUGAAGGACUUAUAUGCUCCUUUCAUGGAUCCAAAACAAAGGUCCAGACACUUUGCAUGUGGAGUGGGACACGUCACAUAUUGAUAAAAAAUAGCCAAGAACUUUGACGGUUUGCAGUGAUUGAAAUCACCCAGAAUAAAGCACGGUGCGUCCGGCACUAACCCCUGCAGCCGCUGCACUGUCUUUAGCAUAGCCUGAGUUGCUACAUCAGCAUUAGCCUUCGGGUGAACAUAAACAACAGUAAUAAAUAACUGUGGAAAUUCCCUGGGAAGAUAAAACGGUCGCAGGGAUACGGACAAUAGUUCAGCGUCUUUGGUGCACAGUGUCUUAUCGUAUUACAGCAGUUUUUAUUGACGUAGAGACACACACCUCCGCCCAGUGACUUGCGGGUCACUGCGGGGUCUCUAUCAAGGCGGAAGGGAACUCCAAGUCCAUCAAUCUCCAGUGCUGACUGUGGAUCUUGCUCCUUAAGCCAGGUCUCCAUGAGGGCCAGGAUACAUGCGUCCCUGUACUCUGCCAGAUACUUGACGUUACCCUGAAGCUCAUCCACCUUAUUCCUGAACAUUAGCCAGGAUGACAGUGGGUAGAGGUAUCCGACGGUGGCCCUGCCGCUCUGUCGCAGUCCGCCGCGUUUCCCCCUUUUCCUCGCACGCCUCGGCCCGUCCGACCUGCUCCGGUUUUCCGUGAAGGGAUUCAGCCGACCGAUCUCCGUGGGGACAGCUGUCGAGGGAUCCACGGUGCCCAACCCGGAGUCACGGAACAAAAGUAGGAAGUGGCGGCUAUACUGAAUUUGCCGGUGGAUGAAUCCUGAACGCGGAGCGAAUGUAAAUGAGGGGGAGUUUCCUUCUGCUCUGCACCGGCCUCGUUCCAGAGAUCUCAUCAGAUGUAGAGGAGUACGUCCAGCAUGGAGGUGAGGAGGCUGCAGAGGCAUGACAGCGGUCAGGUCAGUGCCGUGACUCAUCCAGGAAGUGAACCGGAUUCGACCGCCUGGCCUCCAGACAGGAUAUUAGUCCGCUUAGUCACGGCUUCACUCACCGAUACAGCAGCUGCAGGACUUUAGAUUGCAGUGAAAAAUGAACCACAGUGAAGAAAAACACACCCAGAGACUGAAUUAAAGCACUCGAACAUUCAUUGAGUGACAAAUAUCUCUGAAGAAAUGAAAUAUUAAAGCAUCUCAGAGUAAACCAUAAUAUUCUGUAAACAUGCCACAACAUGAAAUAAUCCUGAAAAUCUAAAUACAUUGGAAAAAAAAUGUCUCGAUUGGAUGUCUGGAGAGGCUGGAACUCCUCCAGCGCAGCCGCCUGACAGUUGUGGAAAUGAACUCAUUUAAAAUGAAAACUGAAAUUGAGAGUGAGAAGCAGAAAAGUGGGGAGGAAGAGGCUGAUAAAGCUCGACAGACUGAUAAAAGGCC
ensembl:lncRNA